AAGAGAUCGGGAUAACACCUAGGAAACAGAUGCUAAUACCGGAUAACAACAGAUGAUGCCUAUCAACUGUUUAAAAGAUGGUUCUGCUAUCACUCUUGGAUGGACCUGCGGUGCAUUAGCUAGUUGGUAGGGUAACGGCCUACCAAGGCGAUGAUGCAUAGCCGAGUUGAGAGACUGAUCGGCCACAUUGGGACUGAGACACGGCCCAAACUCCUACGGGAGGCAGCAGUU
rnacentral:rRNA from 1 species